rnacentral:rRNA from 1 species
CCUACGGGAGGCAGCAGUGGGGAAUAUUGGGCAAUGGAGGCAACUCUGACCCAGCAACGCCGCGUGAAUGAUGAAGGUCUUCGGAUUGUAAAGUUCUUUUCUAAGGGAAGAAGCAAGUGACGGUACCUUAUGAAUAAGCCUCGGCUAACUACGUGCCAGCAGCCGCGGUAAUACGUAGGAGGCAAGCGUUAUCCGGAAUGAUUGGGCGUAAAGGGUGCGUAGGUGGGUUGACAAGUUAGUAGCGCAACUCCGGGGCUCAACUUCGGAACUACUACUAAAACUGUUGGACUUGAGUGCAGGAGAGGCAAUCGGAAUUCCUAGUGUAGCGGUGGAAUGCGUAGAUAUUAGGAGGAACACCAGUGGCGAAGGCGGAUUGCUAGACUGUAACUGACAUUGAUGCUCGAAAGUGUGGGUAUCAAACAGGAUUAGAUACCCGUGUAGUC